rnacentral:rRNA from 1 species
AACGAACGCUGGCGGCAUGCCUAACACAUGCAAGUCGAACGGUGGCUUCGGCCACAGUGGCGCACGGGUGAGUAACACGUGGGAACCUGCCUUUCGGUUCGGAAUAACGUCUGGAAACGGACGCUAACACCGGAUAAGCCCUUCCAGCGAUGGUUGGGGAAAGUUCACGCCGAGAGAGGGGCCCGCGUCCGAUUAGGUAGUUGGUGAGGUACCGGCUCACCAAGCCGACGAUCGGUAGCUGGUCUGAGAGGAUGAUCAGCCACACUGGGACUGAGACACGGCCCAGACUCCUACGGGAGGCAGCAGUGGGGAAUAUUGGACAAUGGGCGCACGCCUGAUCCAGCAAUGCCGCGUGAGUGAUGAAGGCCUUAGGGUUAUAAAGCUCUUUCGCACGUGACGAUGAUGACGGUAACGUGAGAAGAAGCCCCGGCUAACUUCGUGCCAGCCGCCGCAGUAAUAC